GUGUCCUACGGGGGGCAGCAGUGGGGGAUAUUGGACAAUGGGGGGAACCCUGAUCCAGCGACGCCGCGUGAGGGAUGACGGCCCUACGGGUUGUAAACCUCUUUUGUCGGGGAGCAAGACCCGCCACGAGUGGCGGAGCGAGAGUACCCGAAGAAAAAGCAUCGGCUAACUCCGUGCCAGCAGCCGCGGUAAUACGGAGGAUGCGAGCGUUAUCCGGAUUUAUUGGGUUUAAAGGGUGCGCAGGCGGACCAUCAAGUCAGCGGUAAAAUCGUGGGGCCCAACCCCAUCCCGCCGUUGAAACUGGG
rnacentral:rRNA from 1 species